rnacentral:rRNA from 1 species
UACGGAGGAUGCAAGCGUUAUCCGGAUUUACUGGGUGUAAAGGGAGCGCAGACGGCAGUGCAAGUCUGAUGUGAAAGCCCGGGGCUCAACCCCGGAACUGCAUUGGAAACUGUACAGCUUGAGUGUCGGAGAGGUAAGCGGAAUUCCUAGUGUAGCGGUGAAAUGCGUAGAUAUUAGGAGGAACACCGGUGGCGAAGGCGGCUUACUGGACGAUGACUGACGUUGAGGCUCGAAAGCGUGGGGAGCAAACAGGAUUAGAUACCCU